rnacentral:snoRNA from 1 species
CAGACCUUACUUCAUAGGAUCAUUUCUAUAGUAAGUUCUUCACGAGACCUUCAC